AGAUGAGCUCUCCCAUCCCCUUGAGGGAGUAAGACCCCUGGAAGAUCACCAGGUUGAUAGGCCGGAUCUGGAAGGAUGGUGACAUCCGUAGGAGACCGGUACUAAUGGGUCGAGGGCUUGACGGA
rnacentral:rRNA from 1 species